CUGAGUGCUUGCAGAUUGUUUCAGU
rnacentral:misc_RNA from 1 species